rnacentral:rRNA from 1 species
UACGUAGGGUGCGAGCGUUAAUCGGAAUUACUGGGCGUAAAGUGUGCGCAGGCGGCCGAGCAAGUCGAGUGUGAAAGCCCCGAGCUUAACUUGGGAACUGCGCUCGAAACUACUUGGCUAGAGUGUGGCAGAGGGAGGUGGAAUUCCACGUGUAGCGGUGAAAUGCGUAGAUAUCUGGAGGAAUACCGGUGGCGAAGGCGGCAUCCUGGACCGGCAUUGACGCUGAGGAGCGAAAGCUAGGGGAGCAACGGG